GGGGAAUUAGCUCAUCUGGCUAGAGCGCUACGCUGGCAGUGUAGAGGUGACCGGUUCGAUCCCGGUAUUCUCCACAA
rnacentral:tRNA from 1 species